CUUGAUUCCAAAAGAAUCUCUGAGUACACAGCAGGUGUCAGUGCCUUUUCCUUUGAAUUGCUGCAUAGAAAGGAGGGAUUAGGUAAUCACAUCUAUGGGAGUACUGCAUCCCUCUGUCUAAUGAAAGGGUUGAUUUUCAUUUGAAGAAUUGCAGAAACUUGGCUUAUAGGCUUAAAACCUUAAUUUUGCUUGUUUAUGUAAUGUAUUUUCUUGAUGAAAACCCAUUGAAUUUUAUUGGCUUGCUUUAUAGUUCCUUAGACAUCCUGCAUUCCUCGGUCACAGUCCUUUUUCUUAUUGCUUGCCUUUAAUUGAUGGUAUAUGUCCUCCUGAAAAUGGUACAGAUCUUCAAUUUGCAUUUCCCUCCUUUAGUUCCUGGGAUGAGCUGGCUUCUGUUGCAAAAGGACUGGAACACAACCUUUCCAUUGACUAUUAAGAUGCCGGGCACCCUCUGGUCACAACAACUUGGCAUGACAGUUGUGGGGAACUCCAGCAUCUCUAAAUGCGGAAUUGCACCACCCUUGCAGAGGGAGAAAAUACCCUUAGCAGACCCCUGGGGUACCAGGCUGAACAGAGCCUUGAGGAUGGGACAUCUGUACUGAUGGGGAAAUAGGUUAGGUCGUCUUUGGCACAUCUUGCAUCUGAUCACCUGGCAGUCCAAUUGAUCAUCUGAAGGUGUUUGUUUUGCUCCUGUGAUUUUUGUCUGUGCUGGGGACUGCCAUCAUACUUUAGUCAGUGUCAUGUAACAAUGCAAUGCAUUUUCAGAGUUCAGAUGGGAAGGGUUGCUUGGGCCUUUUUCUUCAGCAAUCUGAUUUUGAAUGGGUUGUGGGAGCUAACUGGUACUGGGAGUCUGGCAUCCAGCCUCUUCCCUGAAGUGUAACUGGCCAGUACUGAGUGGCAGUGGCUGGGUGUUUGCUGCUGGGGGAAGAUGUAACCUCCUUUCUUUGCCACCGAAAAACAGAAUUUUAUUGACUGCUUGAUGCAUGUGUCACUCUGUCCUUCCCACCACCUCCAUUCUGGUGCCCUUAGGGAGCACCUGGGAUCAGUGCUCUGCUUGCUCACCUAAUGUUAUAGUAUUUUUUUUCCCCACUCCUUCCCCUUGUCAGUCAAUUUACCAGUAAUAAAGGCUUUAUUAUUUAUUCA
rnacentral:lncRNA from 1 species